rnacentral:pre_miRNA from 1 species
UUGGCUCAGGUACUGAGUGACUCUCAGCGUGAUACCAUUUCCAGUUCCUGUGAGCACCUCGGUACCUUGGCC